rnacentral:rRNA from 1 species
AACGAACGCUGGCGGCAUGCCUAACACAUGCAAGUCGAACGAUCCCUUCGGGGGUAGUUGCGCACGGGUGCGUAACGCGUGGGAACCUGCCCUUAGGUUCGGAAUAACUCAGAGAAAUUUGAGCUAAUACCGGAUAAUUUCUUCGGACCAAGGAUUUAUCGCCUUUGGAUGGGCCCGCGUUGGAUUAGCUAGUUGGUGGGGUAAAGGCCUACCAAGGCGACGAUCCAUAGCUGGUCUGAGAGGAUGAUCAGCCACACUGGGACUGAGACACGGCCCAGACUCCUACGGGAGGCAGCAGUGGGGAAUAUUGGACAAUGGGUGAAAGCCUGAUCCAGCAAUGCCGCGUGAGUGAUGAAGGCCUUAGGGUUGUAAAGCUCUUUUACCCGGGAUGAUAAUGACAGUACCGGGAGAAUAAGCCCCGGCUAACUCCGUG